GUCUUCGUAGCUUAGUCGGCAGAACCACCGACUAUGGUACGGUAGAACUCGGGUUCGAGCUCAGCUGAAGGCA